ACUCAAAGGAAUUGACGGGGGCCCGCACAAGCGGUGGAGCAUGUGGUUCAAUUCGACGCAACGCGAAGAACCUUACCAGGGCUUGACAUCCUCUGUAAGCUGCGGAAACGCAGCCCCCAUGGCAACAUGGCAGAGUGACAGGUGCUGCAUGGCUGUCGUCAGCUCGUGUCGUGAGAUGUUGGGUUAAGUCCCGCAACGAGCGCAACCCUCGUCGAGUGUUGCCAUCAUUUAGUUGGGCACUCACUCGAGACCGCCGUUGAUAAGACGGAGGAAGGUGGGGAUGACGUCAAGUCCGCAUGGCCCUUACGUCCUGGGCUACACACGUGCUACAAUGGCCGGUACAACGGGCUGCUAGUCCGCAAGGUCAAGCUAAUCCCUCAAAACCGGUCUCAGUUCGGAUUGCAGGCUGCAACUCGCCUGCAUGAAGUCGGAAUCGCUAGUAACUGCAGAUCAGCUACGCUGCGGUGAAUACGUUCCCGGGCCUUGUACACACCGCCCGU
rnacentral:rRNA from 1 species